rnacentral:rRNA from 1 species
GUUAAGAAUCUUGCGCAAUGGGCGAAAGCCUGACGCAGCGACGCCGCGUGGAGGACGACGGCCUUCGGGUUGUAAACUCCUUUUCUGAAGGAAGAUGAUGACGGUACUUCAGGAAUAAGCCCCGGCCAAUUACGUGCCAGCAGCCGCGGAAUACGUAAGGGGCAAGCGUUGUCCGGAAUCACUGGGCGUAAAGCGCGCGUAGGUGGUUUGGUAAGUCGGGUGUGAAAUCCUCAGGCUCAACCUGAGAACUGCGCCUGAAACUGCCUCACUGGAGGGACGGAGAGGUACACGGAAUUCCCGGUGUAGGGGUGAAAUCCAUAGAUAUCGGGAGGAACACCAAUGGCGAAGGCAGUGUACUGGACGUUACCUGACACUGAGGUGCGAAAGCGUGGGGAGCGAACGGGAUUAGAAACCCUGGUAGUCC